rnacentral:rRNA from 1 species
CAGUCGCCGCGGGAAUACGAAGGGGGCUAGCGUUGUUCGGAUUUACUGGGCGUAAAGGGCGCGUAGGCGGACUGAUAAGUCAGGGGUGAAAUCCCAAGGCUCAACCUUGGAACCGCCUUUGAUACUGUUUGCCUUGAGUUCGAGAGAGGUAAGUGGAACUGCGAGUGUAGAGGUGAAAUUCGUAGAUAUUCGCAAGAACACCAGUGGCGAAGGCGGCUUACUGGCUCGAAACUGACGCUGAGGCGCGAAAGCGUGGGGAGCAAACAGGAUUAGAUACCCGCGUAGUCCCUGUCUCUUAUAC